rnacentral:rRNA from 1 species
CACGGGGGAGCAAGCGUUGUUCGGAAUUACUGGGCGUAAAGGGCGUGUAGGCGGUCUAAGUAAGUGGGUGUGAACCCCUCGGCUCGACCCGAGGAUCUGCAUCCAAACUGCUUGGCUUGAGUAUGGGAGAGGAUGAGGGAAUUCCUGGUGUAGCGGUGAAAUGCGUAGAUAUCAGGAGGAACACCGGUGGCGAAGGCGGCUCACUGGGGCUUUCUGACGCUGAGGAACGGAAAGCCAGGGGAGCGAACGGG